rnacentral:rRNA from 1 species
CCUACGGGAGGCAGCAGUAAGGAAUAUUGGUCAAUGGAGGCAACUCUGAACCAGCCAUGCCGCGUGCAGGAAGACAGCCCUAUGGGUCGUAAACUGCUUUUAUACGGGAAUAAACUUUGAUUCGUGAAUCAAGCUGAAUGUACCGUAAGAAUAAGGAUCGGCUAACUCCGUGCCAGCAGCCGCGGUAAUACGGAGGAUCCAAGCGUUAUCCGGAUUUAUUGGGUUUAAAGGGAGCGUAGGCGGCCUAUUAAGUCAGGGGUGAAAGACGGUGGCUCAACCAUCGCAGUGCCUUUGAUACUGAUGGGCUUGAAUAUAGUUGAGGUAGGCGGAAUGUGACAAGUAGCGGUGAAAUGCAUAGAUAUGUCACAGAACACCGAUUGCGAAGGCAGCUUACUAAGCUAUGAUUGACGCUGAGGCUCGAAAGCGUGGGGAUCAAACAGGAUUAGAUACCCUGGUAGUCCACGCCCUAAACGAUGAUAACUCGAUGUUGGCGAUAUACAGUCAGCGUCCAAGCGAAAGCGUUAAGUUAUCCACCUGGGGAGUACGCCCGCAAGGGUGAAACUCAAAGAGAGUAGAGNGNGAGAGNGCGACGGACGACACGAGGGAGGAGG